UUAGUUUCAGAUGUACAGCAUAGUUAUUCAAAAAUUUUAUAGAUUACACUCCAUUUAAUGUUAUUAUAAAAUAUUGGCUAUAUUCCCUAUGCUGGAUAAUAACUCCUUGUAGCUUAUUUGCUUUAUCAUAGUAGUUUGUACCUCUUAAUUCCCUACCCCUAUCUUACCCUUCCCCC